rnacentral:rRNA from 1 species
AUGGUUCGAGAGGAGGUAGCAGGAUCCACUCAAACACUACAGUGGAAGUGUGUUGAAUCAAGAGUAGAUAGUAAGCGCCUUUAUUAUGGUCGUUUCAUUCUGUCCCCGCUUAGAAAAGGUCAAGCGGACACCGUCGGUAUUGCCUUG